rfam:TPA: Bos taurus chromosome 29, whole genome shotgun sequence.
UCCCUGGUGGUCCAGUGGUUAGGACUCUGUGCUUUCACUGCAGAAGUCCCAGGUUCAAUCCCUGGUCAGGGAG